AUUGAACGCUGGCGGCAGGCCUAACACAUGCAAGUCGAGCGAGCGGCGGACGGGUGAGUAAUGUCUGGGAAACUGCCUGAUGGAGGGGGAUAACUACUGGAAACGGUAGCUAAUACCGCAUACCAUCAGAUGUGCCCAGAUGGGAUUAGCUAGUAGGUGGGGUAACGGCUCACCUAGGCGACGAUCCCUAGCUGGUCUGAGAGGAUGACCAGCCACACUUGAACUUGGACACGGUCCAGACUCCUACUGGAGUCAGCUUUGGGGAAUAUUGCACAAUGGGCGCAGGCCUGAUGCAGCCAUGCCGCGUGUGUGAAGUAGGCCGUCUGGUUGUAAAGCACUUUCUGCGGGGGGGCGUUACCCGCUGAAGAAGCACCGGCUAACUCCGUUCCAGCAGCCGCGGUAAUUC
rnacentral:rRNA from 1 species